AAUCCAUAGGUUAAUGAGGCGAACCGGGGGAACUGAAACAUCUAAGUACCCCGAGGAAAAGAAAUCAACCGAGAUUCCCCCAGUAGCGGCGAGCGAACGGGGAGGAGCCCAGAGCCUGAAUCAGCAUGUGUGUUAGUGGAAGCGUCUGGAAAGGCGCGCGAUACAGGGUGACAGCCCCGUACACAAAAGCGCAUGUGCUGUGAGCUCGAUGAGUAGGGCGGGACACGUGGUAUCCUGUCUGAAUAUGGGGGGACCAUCCUCCAAGGCUAAAUACUCCUGACUGACCGAUAGUGAACCAGUACCGUGAGGGAAAGGCGAAAAGAACCCCGGCGAGGGGAGUGAAAAAGAACCUGAAACCGUGUACGUACAAGCAGUGGGAGCACAGGUUUACCUGUGUGACUGCGUACCUUUUGUAUAAUGGGUCAGCGACUUAUAUUCUGUAGCAAGGUUAACCGAAUAGGGGAGCCGGAGGGAAACCGAGUCUUAAUUGGGCGUUAAGUUGCAGGGUAUAGACCCGAAACCCGGUGAUCUAGCCAUGGGCAGGUUGAAGGUUGGGUAACACUAACUGGAGGACCGAACCGACUAAUGUUGAAAAAUUAGCGGAUGACCUGUGGCUGGGGGUGAAAGGCCAAUCAAACCGGGAGAUAGCUGGUUCUCCCCGAAAGCUAUUUAGGUAGCGCCUCGUGAAUUCAUCUCCGGGGGUAGAGCACUGUUUCGGCUAGGGGGCCAUCCCGGCUUACCAACCCGAUGCAAACUGCGAAUACCGGAGAAUGUUAUCACGGGAGACACACGGCGGGUGCUAACGUCCGUCGUGAAGAGGGAAACAACCCAGACCGCCAGCUAAGGUCCCAAAGUCAUGGUUAAGUGGGAAACGAUGUGGGAAGGCCCAGACAGCCAGGAUGUUGGCUUAGAAGCAGCCAUCAUUUAAAGAAAGCGUAAUAGCUCACUGGUCGAGUCGGCCUGCGCGGAAGAUGUAACGGGGCUAAACCAUGCACCGAAGCUGCGGCAGCGAACGUAUCACUUAAAGCGAUUCAGCGGGUUACGAUUGACGGAGCGAAGCGACGUCAAAGCGUAUACAAAGUCGAGUCGGUUUAAGGAUACGUUCGUUGGGUAGGGGAGCGUUCUGUAAGCCUGUGAAGGUGGCCUGUGAGGGUUGCUGGAGGUAUCAGAAGUGCGAAUGCUGACAUAAGUAACGAUAAAGCGGGUGAAAAGCCCGCUCGCCGGAAGACCAAGGGUUCCUGUCCAACGUUAAUCGGGGCAGGGUGAGUCGACCCCUAAGGCGAGGCCGAAAGGCGUAGUCGAUGGGAAACGGGUUAAUAUUCCCGUACUUGGUGUUACUGCGAAGGGGGGACGGAGAAGGCUAUGUUGGCCGGGCGACGGUUGUCCCGGUUUAAGCGUGUAGGCUGGUUUUCCAGGCAAAUCCGGAAAAUCAAGGCUGAGGCGUGAUGACGAGGCACUACGGUGCUGAAGCAACAAAUGCCCUGCUUCCAGGAAAAGCCUCUAAGCAUCAGGUAACAUCAAAUCGUACCCCAAACCGACACAGGUGGUCAGGUAGAGAAUACCAAGGCGCUUGAGAGAACUCGGGUGAAGGAACUAGGCAAAAUGGUGCCGUAACUUCGGGAGAAGGCACGCUGACACGUAGGUGAAGUGAUUUACUCACGGAGCUGAAGUCAGUCGAAGAUACCAGCUGGCUGCAACUGUUUAUUAAAAACACAGCACUGUGCAAACACGAAAGUGGACGUAUACGGUGUGACGCCUGCCCGGUGCCGGAAGGUUAAUUGAUGGGGUCAGCGCAAGCGAAGCUCCUGAUCGAAGCCCCGGUAAACGGCGGCCGUAACUAUAACGGUCCUAAGGUAGCGAAAUUCCUUGUCGGGUAAGUUCCGACCUGCACGAAUGGCGUAAUGAUGGCCAGGCUGUCUCCACCCGAGACUCAGUGAAAUUGAACUCGCUGUGAAGAUGCAGUGUACCCGCGGCAAGACGGAAAGACCCCGUGAACCUUUACUAUAGCUUGACACUGAACAUUGAGCCUUGAUGUGUAGGAUAGGUGGGAGGCUUUGAAGCGUGGACGCCAGUCUGCGUGGAGCCGACCUUGAAAUACCACCCUUUAAUGUUUGAUGUUCUAACGUGGACCCGUAAUCCGGGUUGCGGACAGUGUCUGGUGGGUAGUUUGACUGGGGCGGUCUCCUCCUAAAGAGUAACGGAGGAGCACGAAGGUUGGCUAAUCCUGGUCGGACAUCAGGAGGUUAGUGCAAUGGCAUAAGCCAGCUUGACUGCGAGCGUGACGGCGCGAGCAGGUGCGAAAGCAGGUCAUAGUGAUCCGGUGGUUCUGAAUGGAAGGGCCAUCGCUCAACGGAUAAAAGGUACUCCGGGGAUAACAGGCUGAUACCGCCCAAGAGUUCAUAUCGACGGCGGUGUUUGGCACCUCGAUGUCGGCUCAUCACAUCCUGGGGCUGAAGUAGGUCCCAAGGGUAUGGCUGUUCGCCAUUUAAAGUGGUACGCGAGCUGGGUUUAGAACGUCGUGAGACAGUUCGGUCCCUAUCUGCCGUGGGCGCUGGAGAACUGAGGGGGGCUGCUCCUAGUACGAGAGGACCGGAGUGGACGCAUCACUGGUGUUCGGGUUGUCAUGCCAAUGGCACUGCCCGGUAGCUAAAUGCGGAAGAGAUAAGUGCUGAAAGCAUCUAAGCACGAAACUUGCCCCGA
rnacentral:rRNA from 1 species